AUUUCGACUUCCUUCUAAGGUUUCAACUUCAAAGAGGAAAACGUAGAAGGGUUUUCUUCCCUUUCUUGAUCUUUCUCUUUAAGUGUUUUUUCCUUAAGAAAUUUGCCAGGCACACUACCUUGGCCUCCACUAUCGCAGCGCCGUCCACCUACUUAAUGCCUCCCAGAUUUUCCUUCGCAACCUCUGAUUCCACUAUCUCACCUCCAAAUGCCUUGUAAGUUGUUAAUUUCCUCACUUCUCCCCAAAUGCACGAAUUUAUAGUGUAAUGUUAAUUGUUAUGAGCCUGUGUACAAUCAACUUUGUGUUUUUAGCUCGAUUUUGGAAUUUUGUGCUUCAAUUUUUUCCUCUCGAGUUCCAUUCGUGCUGAUGCUCGUCAAUUGUUUGUUGAAAUGUCUCUGAACUUUUAAUCUGGAAUUUAAUUUUGAAGAGACACCUGAUUUCUGAAUGAUUUAUUGAAGAAUUUCCUGAACCACUCAAGUCUUAGGGUUUUAUUUGAGAAAUUUUCAGAUCUUUAUGUUUCUUUUUGCGUUUUCAUUAUUUUAGUUCCACGGGACCAUGGUGAGGAAUUUUUAAGAACAAAAAUUUUAUAGAUUUUUUAAUUUUAUUUAUUUAUUAUUAUUAUUUUUUUGGAUUAGUGCCAGUGGG
rnacentral:lncRNA from 1 species